UACGUAGGCAGCGAGCGUUGUUCGGAGUUACUGGGCGUAAAGGGUGUGUAGGCGGUCCCUUAAGUUUGGUGUGAAAUCUCCCGGCUCAACUGGGAGGGUGCGCCGGAUACUGAGGGGCUAGAGUGCGGGAGGGGAAAGUGGAAUUCCUGGUGUAGCGGUGAAAUGCGUAGAUAUCAGGAGGAACACCGGUGGUGCAAACGGCUUUCUGGACCGUAACUGACGCUGAGGAGCGAAAGCGUGGGGAGCGAACAGG
rnacentral:rRNA from 1 species